AGAGCGAACGCUGGCGGCAUGCUUAACACAUGCAAGUCGCACGGGCAGGGGAAACCCUGUCAGUGGCGGACGGGUGAGUAACGCGUAGGAAUCUAUCUCUGGGUGGGGGACAACCGUGGGAAACUACGGCUAAUACCGCAUGACACCUGAGGGUCAAAGGCGCAAGUCGCCUGGAGAGGAGCCUGCGUACGAUUAGCUUGUUGGUGGGGUAAAGGCCUACCAAGGCGACGAUCGUUAGCUGGUCUGAGAGGAUGAUCAGCCACAUUGGGACUGAGACACGGCCCAAACUCCUACGGGAGGCAGCAGUGGGGAAUAUUGGACAAUGGGCGAAAGCCUGAUCCAGCAAUGCCGCGUGGGUGAAGAAGGUCUUCGGAUUGUAAAGCCCUUUCGACGGGGACGAUGAUGACGGUACCCGUAGAAGAAGCCCCGGCUAACUUCGCGCCAGCAGCCGC
rnacentral:rRNA from 1 species